rnacentral:tRNA from 1 species
GGUGAGAUGGCCGAGUUGGUUAUGGCGCCAGGUUAAGGUCUCUCCUUAGCAUACGGACGGUUAACUGUUCCUCCUGGUCACGAAAGUGGCGUGGGUUCGAGUCCCACUCUCAUCA